GACGAACGCUGGCGGCGUGCUUAACACAUGCAAGUCGAACGGAGUGGCGAACGGGCGAGUAACUCGUGGGUGACCUACCCUGCACUUCGGGGUAAGCCUGGGUCACUGGGUCCAAUACCUGAUAGUGUGGGAUGGGGCCGCGGCCUAGCAGCUUGUUGGUGGGGUAAUGGCCUACCAAGGCGGCGGCGUGUAGCCGGACUGAGAGGGUGGACGGGCACAGUGUGAUUGAGACACCGGCCAGACUGCUACGGGAGGCAGCAGUGGAGGAUAGUGCACAAUGGGCGGAGGCCUGAUGGAGCGACGCCGCGUGGGGGAUGACGGCUUGUGGGGUGGAAACGCCUUUCACCAUCGAGGCGGUAGAUGGAGAAGAAGUACCGGCUAACUCCGGGCCAGCAGCCGCGGUAAUUC
rnacentral:rRNA from 1 species